rnacentral:rRNA from 1 species
UACGUAGGGUGCGAGCGUUGUCCGGAAUUACUGGGCGUAAAGAGUGUGUAGGCGGUGCUCUAAGUUCGGUGUGAAAUCUCCUGGCUCAACUGGGAGGGUGCGCCGGAAACUGGAGUGCUUGAGCGUGGGAGAGGAAAGCGGAAUUCCUGGUGUAGCGGUGAAAUGCGUAGAUAUCAGGAGGAACACCGAUGGCGAAGGCAGGUCACUGGGCCGCAACUGACGCUGAGGAGCGAAAGCAUGGGGAGCGAACAGG